rnacentral:rRNA from 1 species
GUGGGGAAUAUUGGGCAAUGGGCGAAAGCCUGACCCAGCAACGCCGCGUGAAGGAAGAAGGCCUUCGGGUUGUAAACUUCUUUUAUGAGGGACGAAGGAAGUGACUGUACCUCAUGAAUAAGCCACGGCUAACUACGUGCCAGCAGCCGCGGUAAUACGUAGGUGGCAAGCGUUGUCCGGAUUUACUGGGUGUAAAGGGCGCGUAGGGGGACUGGCAAGUCAGAUGUGAAAUCCAUGAGCUCAACUCAUGAACUGCAUUUGAAACUGUUGGUCUUGAGUAUCGGAGAGGCAAGCGGAAUUCCUAGUGUAGCGGUGAAAUGCGUAGAUAUUAGGAGGAACACCAGUGGCGAAGGCGGCUUGCUGGACGACAACUGACGCUGAGGCGCGAAAGCGUGGGGAGCAAACAGGAUUAGAUACCCUUGUAGUCC